AUGCAAGUCGAGCGAUGAAAUUUCGACAGAUCCCUUCGGGGUGAAGAUGAAAUGGAUUAGCGGCGGACGGGUGAGUAACACGUGAGUAACCUGCCUUUGACAUUGGGAUAGCCUCGGGAAACUGGGAUUAAUACCAAAUGACACUAACUGAUCACAUGAUCAAUUAGUCAAAGAAAUUCGGUCAAAGAUGGACUCGCGGCUGAUUAGCUAGUUGGUGAGGUAACGGCCCACCAAGGCGACGAUCAGUAGCCGGCCUGAGAGGGUGAUCGGCCACAUUGGAACUGAGACACGGUCCAAACUCCUACGGGAGGCAGCAGUGGGGAAUAUUGCACAAUGGGGGAAACCCUGAUGCAGCGACGCCGCGUGAGCGAAGAAGGCCUUCGGGUCGUAAAGCUCUUUUAUGAGGGAAGAUAAUGACGGUACCUCAAGAAAAAGCCCCGGCUAACUACGUGCCAGCAGCCGCGGUAAUACGUAGGGGGCUAGCGUUGCCCGGAAUCACUGGGCGUAAAGGGUUCGCAGGCGGAAUAACAAGUCAGAUGUGAAAGGCAUGGGCUCAACCCAUGUAAGCAUUUGAAACUGUAAUUCUUGAGAAGUGGAGAGGUAAGUGGAAUUCCUAGUGUAGCGGUGAAAUGCGUAGAUAUUAGGAGGAAUACCUGUGGCGAAGGCGACUUACUGGACACAAAUCUGACGCUGAGGAACGAAAGCGUGGGUAGCAAACAGGAUUAGAUACCCUGGUAGUCCACGCCGUAAACGAUGAGUGCUAGGUGUCGGGGGAGACCUCGGUGCCGGCGUUAACACAAUAAGCACUCCGCCUGGGGAGUACGUGCGCAAGC
rnacentral:rRNA from 1 species